rnacentral:rRNA from 1 species
GUCCUAGCCGUAAACGGUGAGCACUAGGUGUUGGAGGCAUCGACCCCUCCAGUGCCGCAGCUAACGCAUUAAGUGCUCCGCCUGGGAGUACGGCCGCAAGGUUGAAACUCAAAGGAAUUGACGGGCCCGCACAAGCGGUGGAGCAUGUGGUUCAAUUCGACGCGACGCGAAGAACCUUACCCAGGCUUGACAUGCACUGGACGGGUGUGGAAACUCACCUUUCCUCGGACCGGUGCACAGGUGCUGCAUGGCUGUCGU